CCUACGGGGGGCAGCAGUGGGGAAUAUUGGACAAUGGGCGAAAGCCUGAUCCAGCCAUGCCGCGUGUGUGAAAAAGGCCUUCGGGUUGUAAAGCACUUUCAGUGGGGAAGAAAGCCUUGGGGCUAAUACCCUCGAGGAAGGACAUCACCCACAGAAGAAGCACCGGCUAACUCCGUGCCAGCAGCCGCGGUAAUACGGAGGGUGCGAGCGUUAAUCGGAAUUACUGGGCGUAAAGCGCGCGUAGGCGGUCUGAUAAGCCGGUUGUGAAAGCCCCGGGCUCAACCUGGGAACGGCAUCCGGAACUGUCAGGCUAGAGUGCAGGAGAGGAAGGUAGAAUUCCCGGUGUAGCGGUGAAAUGCGUAGAGAUCGGGAGGAAUACCAGUGGCGAAGGCGGCCUUCUGGACUGACACUGACGCUGAGGUGCGAAAGCGUGGGUAGCAAACAGGAUUAGAUACCCGAGUAGUC
rnacentral:rRNA from 1 species